UACACCUAUGAACAAAUGGUUAUGAAUGUUAUAUUCUGUUUCUGCUAAUAAAUCCCCAGUAAAUCCUACACACUGUAGCUUUAAUGAGGUUAAAGACA